GGUUUUUCUAAGCCACUCAUUUUUCAAGAAGUAAUUCCUUUGUCCUUUAGGAAGGAUAAAGUCGUUUUUUAUCUCAUUGUGUUUAUCCCAAACCCUUAUCACCAAGGGCUUUGUAAAUUAUGCCUGCUAUUCCUUAGCUUCCGGGUAUAAUUAGUGCCCAUUGUAAUCAUACAACUGACCAAUCAUGGGCGCCCUCAAGGGGGCCAAGGCUAGAAGGGAGACUAUUCAUAAAAUCAUACUUAAUAUAGUCUUAUCUUGCCAGGGAAAAAAAGCCAUCUGUGUGGCAUCCCACAACCCAGCACCAUGCAGGUUCUCCAGCUCUCCUUGCAGUGACAACUCUCACCAAAGUGUGCAGCCAAUGGGCUUAAAAAGAGUCACACACAGGAAGUGACCAGAAUGCUUAGGGACUUUGUCAAAGGACAGUUGCCAGGGUGCUGUUAG
rnacentral:lncRNA from 1 species